rnacentral:misc_RNA from 1 species
UUUUUUUAAUCUUCGCUUCUCCAUAAAAUUUACAAGUCUAGAUGAGCCCAGAUGCUAGUUGUUUCAGAGGCAUAAUUCAACCUUCCUCAUCUUCAGAUUUGGACACAUUAUUUGAACUUGCCUCCUUCUCCGCUUCUUUAUUUGAAGUCAUCUUCACCUCCAUUGAACGUCGAGGUGCACCUUUAAUAAAAUAAUCAGAGGAAGGCCAACCUCUGACGGUGGUCAUGGAGAGGGACUCCUCAUCGG